ACUUAACCAAUGCAUGGGUUCCAAAUUAAGCUUGCUGCCGUAGCAUACCAUCAAAAACGGCAUAAAAUUCGCAAUCGCAAGGAGGAGGUUUUAGUACGUAGGGGUCUCGGGACUUGUCUCGGGAUGAAUCGUGCAUGCGUAUCAUUGGGAUCGAUAAACAAACUGCUACAUAUCCCCCGAUACGUACCUUUCAAAGAUUUCCUACCUCAGCGAAC
rfam:Drosophila ananassae strain TSC#14024-0371.13 Ctg01_15527, whole genome shotgun sequence.